AUGGAAAGCCUGUUGCAUUGGGAUUUUGCCCCGGGCCUUGCCCUGGCAGACCAGGUGAGAAGGAAAUUUGGAUCCACGGUGCAUUUCUCUCCCUCCCGAGACGCCAAAGAGUUCUUUUUGGUCGUUUCCUUCUCCUCUGCCUCCUUUUCUCUGGAUGUUGAAACUGUGGGGAUUGCUUUGCAAUGCUGUCUUGGA
rnacentral:rRNA from 1 species